GCCUGGAACCCGGCGGCGCGCGCGCAAGGGGCUGGCGGCGGCCUGAGCCUUCAGGGCGAGGGAGGGUGGGAGAAGGGGCUGGGCCUCGCCCCGCCGCUCCCAGAACCUGGGUCUGACCCACUGCGGCGGGAGCGGGGCACCAGUCCAUCAGCCUCCACGCGGGGACAGCCUAAAGCGAGGGUGGUCGCCAAAUGCUCCCUCGGAUGCGGAUCCGGCCCGUCUUGAUCCACCGCCUACAGUAGGCACGGCGAGCCUGCAUUUUGAAGAGUUCCUGCCAGGCGAGUGUAGUGGGGGUCCCUCCCUGGACGCUGUUGCCUGAGUUGAAGCCACGAGCUUUGGUUCAGUUGAAACUGUGGCAGAAGGCACCGCCCCACAGUGGACUUGGGAACGGGACCCCACCGCCUGGACAAUCUAGAGAAAAGCACGGGGCACCUGCAGCGACGCCUACCUGGAGAAGUGUCCAGGGGAAGACAGCCGGGGACAGGAGAGACCUGUAACUUCCCCAUCAGACAAGGGAAUCAGCUUGAGAUUUAGAAAAUUCUUUAACUAAAUGCAGAGUUUCUAAGUGGCUCGGUGGCUUUUAAGGAAGUGUUUAUGAGAUCAAAAGCUUCAUGUACCGUCUGACACAUAAAAUCCAGUUAUUGGAUAAACAAAGUGGAAGGACCGAGGAUUUCCUAUUUAAUAUGAGUGACAGGACGGAUGAAUUAGCACACUGCAACAUUAUGAUAGCUGUAAGAUGCUAUGGGAGCCGGGAAACAAUUUUCCUGCUCCUCUGAGGAGAGCUGGGAAGGCUUCACCAAGGAGUGACUUGACUUUGGAUACACGUAACUUUUCUAAGAUCUUCCCUGGAACUUCAUAGACAGGGAUGCUCAAGAAAAAAUUUUUUUUUUAAAUUCAGGAUUUCUUUGUUCUCUUAAAAUUAGAGGUUUCACAAAAAUUGUUUAAGUGGUUUGUAAGUGUGGACAUUGAUAUCAAUAGAUGUCUACAAAACUGGAAAAUUUGUACAAGUAUUUAGUUCAUGUAAAAGUAACCCAUUACAUGUUAACAUAAAUAACAUUUUUGUGAAAAAUAACUUUGAGCAAAAAACCACUGAGAAUAAUGACAUUGUUUCACAUUUUUGCACAUUCCUUAAAGUCUGGUUUUAUAAAAGACAGCCUGAUUCUCUUAUCUACUGCAUUAAGUCUUUUGUGAUAAGUUAUUUGAUUAAGGUAUAGGAAGAAUAUUGGUGACAGGAGGAUGUGAGGGACCCUAUGAAUAGGUCAGGAACUAUAAUUUUGUUUUAACAGGCUCCUUAAACUUUAAUGUGCAAAUGAAUCACUUACAAAUGUUAUCAAAAUACAGUUGACCCUUGAACUAGACGGGUGGCUACAUGAAUCGCUCGGGUCCACUUACACAGGCAUUUUUUUCAAUAAAUACUGCAAUUACACAGUCCACGUUUGGUUGACUGAAGAUGCAGAACUUUGCUCUGGAGGAACAGGUUUUUCUGUGUGCACCAUGGGUAAAAACAUGCGUAAAAAUGAUGGGCUUGCCUGAGCACAAGGAACAUGAGCCAUCAGUCAGCCUGAGCACUCAAAGAACCUGAGCUGUGAAUCAAUCCAUCAAUCACGACAACACCCUCUAACUCGGGAUGGAAAAACAACAGGAAAAACAGGGGUGUUGCCAUCUUUCCUCUCUUGGAUUGGCCCACUUCCCAUGCUUGGGAUGUACUGUAUUUUACUACCUUUUUACUUUGUUGAUAAAACCUUGUUUGUAUCACG